rnacentral:rRNA from 1 species
UGACCUCGGAUCAGGUAGCAUCCCGACU